AUCUAUGGCUAUAUCAUCUUGAACAUGUCUGAUAUAGACUGAUAUCUAAUUUCUAAAGCUAAUCUGGGUGGGGUCUGGUUAGUACUUGGAGACUGCUUGGGAAUACUAGGUGUUGUAGGCU
rnacentral:rRNA from 1 species